AUAAUACUAUAUAUUGUUAUGGUUAUCGUCAUGAAACUUAAUUCAUCCAUUGACAUAUAUGGUUGAUGAGAUGUCCACGUUCAAUGCAGGUUUAAAAAGCAUCAAAAAUUAGUGAACAACAUCAAUGAAUCAUGAUCCAUGAAAAUUUCUCAAGCUAUGUAAUCAAGCCCCUCAAGUUUAUCUCUUAGUCCUUUCAGUGUACAACAGUUAAGCCCUCAUGUCCAAAUAAACGAGCUUCUCCAUCCGCUGAGAUGAUCAACGAGGUGGGCGAAGAGAGGGCCAUCAAAGAAAGAAGGUUUUACUUGCAUCCAUCUCCAAGGUCUAAAUAUGGAAAUGCUGCAGAACUAGAGUUACUCACCUUGUUUCCUUUAACUUCCCCUCGUGAAAACAAUGAAUCAUGAUCCAUGAGUUAAUUGAUUGAUUCUUUUUCUUCAGCUAGAAGUACUUAUUGUACUAGUAUAUCAAUUAUUUGCAUUUUUGUUCACAGAAAACUACAAGAACAGCCAAAAUUAGACAAUA